rnacentral:misc_RNA from 1 species
GAUGAAGAACGCAGCGAAAUGCGAUAAGUAGUGUGAAUUGCAGAAUUCAGUGAAUCAUCGAAUCUUUGAACGCACAUUGCGCCCCUUGGUAUUCCAUGGGGCAUGCCUGUUCGAGCGUCAUUUGUACCUUCAAGCCUUGCUUGGUGUUGGGUGUUUGUCUCGCCUCUGCGCGCAGACUCGCCUCAAAACAAUUGGCAGCCGGCGUAUUGAUUUCGGAGCGCAGUACAACUCGCGCUUUGCACUCAGAACGACGACGUCCAAAAGUACAUUUUUACACUCUUGACCUCGGAUCAGGUAGGGACACCCGCUGAACUUAAGCAUAUCAAUAAGCGGAGGA